UUGAAGAGUUUGAUCAUGGCUCAGAUUGAACGCUGGCGGCAGGCCUAACACAUGCAAGUCGAGCGGUAGCACAGAGAGCUUGCUCUCGGGUGACGAGCGGCGGACGGGUGAGUAAUGUCUGGGAAACUGCCUGAUGGAGGGGGAUAACUACUGGAAACGGUAGCUAAUACCGCAUAACGUCGCAAGACCAAAGUGGGGGACCUUCGGGCCUCAUGCCAUCAGAUGUGCCCAGAUGGGAUUAGCUAGUAGGUGGGGUAACGGCUCACCUAGGCGACGAUCCUAGCUGGUCUGAGAGGAUGACCAGCCACACUGGAACUGAGACACGGUCCAGACUCCUACGGGAGGCAGCAGUGGGGAAUAUUGCACAAUGGGCGCAAGCCUGAUGCAGCCAUGCCGCGUGUGUGAAGAAGGCCUUCGGGUUGUAAAGCACUUUCAGCGGGGAGGAAGGCGUUAAGGUUAAUAACCUCAUCGAUUGACGUUACCCGCAGAAGAAGCACCGGCUAACUCCGUGCCAGCAGCCGCGGUAAUACGGAGGGUGCAAGCGUUAAUCGGAAUUACUGGGCGUAAAGCGCACGCAGGCGGUCUGUCAAGUCGGAUGUGAAAUCCCCGGGCUCAACCUGGGAACUGCAUUCGAAACUGGCAGGCUAGAGUCUUGUAGAGGGGUAGAAUUCGUGUAGCGGUGAAAUGCGUAGAGAUCUGGAGGAAUACCGGUGGCGAAGGCGGCCCCCUGGACAAAGACUGACGCUCAGGUGCGAAAGCGUGGGGAGCAAACAGGAUUAGAUACCCUGGUAGUCCACGCCGUAAACGAUGUCGAUUUGGAGGUUGUGCCCUUGAGGCGUGGCUUCCGGAGCUAACGCGUUAAAUCGACCGCCUGGGGAGUACGGCCGCAAGGUUAAAACUCAAAUGAAUUGACGGGGGCCCGCACAAGCGGUGGAGCAUGUGGUUUAAUUCGAUGCAACGCGAAGAACCUUACCUGGUCUUGACAUCCACAGAACUUAGCAGAGAUGCUUUGGUGCCUUCGGGAACUGUGAGACAGGUGCUGCAUGGCUGUCGUCAGCUCGUGUUGUGAAAUGUUGGGUUAAGUCCCGCAACGAGCGCAACCCUUAUCCUUUGUUGCCAGCGGUCCGGCCGGGAACUCAAAGGAGACUGCCAGUGAUAAACUGGAGGAAGGUGGGGAUGACGUCAAGUCAUCAUGGCCCUUACGACCAGGGCUACACACGUGCUACAAUGGCAUAUACAAAGAGAAGCGACCUCGCGAGAGCAAGCGGACCUCAUAAAGUAUGUCGUAGUCCGGAUUGGAGUCUGCAACUCGACUCCAUGAAGUCGGAAUCGCUAGUAAUCGUAGAUCAGAAUGCUACGGUGAAUACGUUCCCGGGCCUUGUACACACCGCCCGUCACACCAUGGGAGUGGGUUGCAAAAGAAGUAGGUAGCUUAACCUUCGGGAGGGCGCUUACCACUUUGUGAUUCAUGACUGGGGUGAAGUCGUAACAAGGUAACCGUAGGGGAACCUGCGGUUGGAUCACCUCCUU
rnacentral:rRNA from 1 species